rnacentral:lncRNA from 1 species
AAAGAGAAAAAAAAUGAUUAAAAUACAAUAGAAAAUAAAUACCUCACCACACAAAAAAAAAUCUCACGUUUCACUCACAAAGAAAAUUCACACAAUUUGGCUUUUACUUCUCUCGAAUGGUCUCACCAAUCACUCUUGCCUUUUUUUUCCACUCGAUUUUCGCCUCUCAAAGUUCUUCGCAAACUAAAUCGACGAAUCAAUACCGUUUGGCGUCGGCUUACAAAAUUGAUUUGGCUUGGUGGGUAAUGAUGUCGGAAAUGGUAGGCUAUAAAACAAAAUAGGAAUGGUUAAGUGUGGCUAUAUAGAUAUGGUCUUUCGGGCAACAAGCAAUGCUUUUACAAACCCAAAAUGAAUUUCAAUCACUCUUUUUUUUUUCAAUUUUGAUUUUUUUCUUUUUUUUUUAAUUCCGAAUUUUUUUUCUUCUUUUUUUUCUUCAAUACUAAAUACAAAAAGUAAAAAUAAAUUGAAUACAAACUUUUUUUUUGAAUUUUUU